rnacentral:rRNA from 1 species
CAGUCGCCGCGGGAAUACGUAGGUGGCAAGCGUUGUCCGGAAUUAUUGGGCGUAAAGCGCGCGCAGGUGGUUUAAUAAGUCUGAUGUGAAAGCCCACGGCUCAACCGUGGAGGGUCAUUGGAAACUGUUAAACUUGAGUGCAGGAGAGAAAAGUGGAAUUCCUAGUGUAGCGGUGAAAUGCGUAAAGAUUAGGAGGAACACCAGUGGCGAAGGCGGCUUUUUGGCCUGUAACUGACACUGAGGCGCGAAAGCGUGGGGAGCAAACAGGAUUAGAUACCCGAGUAGUCCCUGUCUCUUAUAC